GGGAAGCUCGCGGGGCUGCAGCCCGGCGGAGGCCCCGGGCCUGGUGUUCCGCACGUUCUAAACCGCCUGUCCCCGAGGAAGUCGGGCAGGGUCGGGCCGGACUCAGCGCCGCUGGCGGGAGCGCCGUCCGCCCCGAGGACCCUGCGGGCCCGGAAGCCGAGACAGGGCCGCCCACGUCAGCGCCUGGCGCGGGCCCGAACAAACCACGGCAUGGAGACGGAAUGAUGCAGACUCCUAUCCGCGAGAUACCUGCUGUAAUUUCGCUGUGGUUCGUGAGGACGCGUCCUGGGCUGCCCUGAGAAGCCUACGUCUCCCCUUCGAGGCCCGGGAAGACCUCCAACCCCGCUGACAAUGCUGGGCCCUCAGCCAGACCUGCCCUGCGUGCCACGUUCUGUUCUAAGAUCGGGCUGCCGAGCUGUGGCCUGGAGGAAACCUGGUGGGGCUGCCAUGAGCAGCAAGCUCAGUCCAGAAGAACAGUUCCUCUCCAGGAUCCACUUCCUGCGCACUUUUAUGUGCAGUGUAGCUGGAGCAGAGCUCCCCGGAAUUCCACAGGCAACUGAGAACGGAGAGGGAUGCAGGCCAGCCAGGGAUCCAGCGUCUUCCCCAUCGUCACUCUCCAUGGCCUCCGUCUACACACAGUGUUCGUCUGCACAGCUUGUCAGCGCGUUAUCAUGACUUCUAUUUGGCACCGGCCCGUCUGUCCACUGUCCUGGCUUGUUCCAAGCGCUGCCUUCUCCAACUGGGGUCCUGGCUGCAGAGCUGUCUGCUCCCCACGUUGGGCAACUCCAGCCAAGAUUCCUACACCCAAAUGUGACCGUGUUGCUCACGAAGAAGGCUCAGCUUUGCGUGUGCCCAGCCGUGUGCACAGCUCGUCCCAACUCCUGCGGGUGGCACCUGCCUCUCCCACCUCCAGUCUUUCCCCUGUGAUGAGCAGAUGACCACCGCCCUCCAGGGUCAGCGUUUGGCUGUUUGUGUGCCUGCCCACCCGCCUCCCUGUGCCUGGGCCUGCCCUGUGCCUGCACACAGGAGUGGCUCAUGGCGUUUGCCCUACACGGAUGGGCUGUCCUGGGAGCUACUGGACAGUCACCUUGGUGGGAAUGCCAGAGGCAUGGGCAUUAGGUCCCCCCGGCCAGCCUCCGUUGCCACAUGGGCUAUUUUUGUCCAUCGCGUGGGACAACCUAGUAUUGGGGGAAAACUCAGUCCACUCUAAAGAAGCAUCGGCGUUUUGGAUGGACGAAUGCUGCUUCAUGCGACUCCAUGUCAAUGGACUAUUUUAUUCAACUCGGGUAUUUAUGAGUGUCUCCUCUGUGCCAGCCACGUGUGAAAGAAGAACUCCAAGUUACUGGACACCAGGACAAACCAGGUAGAUCACUGCAUCCGGUUCCUCCUCUUUCUGCCGACUCUCCCGGGCAACCGUUCUGAUUCCUGGCAUGGAGUUGGGGGCGAGCUCAUCAGUACCCAGAGCGCCUGGUGUGCAGCCAAAGGCCCCCAUUUUAUUAGUCGGUGUGUUCAGUAUCACGCUCAAGACAAGGGCCAACCUAUUACUUCACACACCUCAAAUACAAAAAGUGCCUGGGAACGUCGAUGAGGUAUUAAAGGAAACCACUGGUCUUGUCAGUCAUGUACACACAGAAAAAAAAACCAGUC
rnacentral:lncRNA from 1 species